rnacentral:rRNA from 1 species
GAUGAACGCUGGCGGCGUGCCUAAUACAUGCAAGUCGAACGAGGAGCUCUUGUAGCAAUACGAGGGUUUCCUAGUGGCGAACGGGUGAGUAACGCGUUGGUGACCUGCCCCGAAGAGGGGGAUAACAGUUCGAAAGAACUGCUAAUACCCCAUGUGGUCACGAGGGUUAGAGGCCUCGUGUCUAAAGGAGCAAUCCGCUUUGGGAGGGGCCUGCGUCCCAUCAGCUAGUUGGUAGGGUAAUGGCCUACCAAGGCGACGACGGGUAGGGGGCCUGAGAGGGUGGCCCCCCACAAUGGAACUGAAACACGGUCCAUACACCUACGGGUGGCAGCAGUAGGGAAUAUUGCACAAUGGGCGAAAGCCUGAUGCAGCAACGCCGCGUGCACGAUGAAGGUCUUCGGAUCGUAAAGUGCUUUUCGGGGAGAUGAGAAAGGACAGUAUCCCCGGAAUAAGUCUCGGCUAACUACGUGCCAGCAGCCGCCGCCGUAA